GGGCCAGUGCUCCCAUUGAAGGCCUGAUAAGUGAUACAGCCAGGCAUGGGAGAAAAUAAUUAAUUCAUGAUAUUUUUUUUAACUGGCUUUGCCAUCAUGAUCUCAGUUGUCAGUAACCAACCUGUUUGAAUAAUGCCACAUUAAAGAACAAAAAAAAGCCAAAAAAAAAAAAAAAAAGCCAGGGUAGCUAAAAGACAAGAGAAACAUUUUCUGCACUAUCAGCAGGGUUCAGUGAAAUUAUUAUGUCCAUUUGUUGUGGCAAACAACAAGGGAACAGCUGAAAUGCUCUAUAUCCAUCUGCACAUGGCACCUACCCAAAACCUGCUUAACAUAAAGGCACCAAAGCCCAUGACAAGGGCCCUGUCCUCUGCUCAUCCUGAACAGCCAGGGCUGUGCAUGGAAAUCCACUAUCCAUGGAAGGAAGGCUUAAAACUGAGCUGGGAGUGUCUGGUGCCUGCCUGAUCCUUGCUUUGAGGAUGGUGCCAAGGGAGCUGCACACAGGGAAGAGCAGCAGCAGGGCCUUGGAGCUGUGCUGGGGAUGCCUCCACACCCUGAGCAGCUUUAGGGUUCCUCUCAGGAGAUGCUGCUGUCAGCCUGCUUGCUGAGGCUCAUUCCACCCAUCCACAGGGUCCUGGAGAGAAAACAUUUCCCAGAAGACACCUUUGGUGUACUGGACCACACACACAAAAAUUGUAUCAGAAUGGAACCUUCCUUUUGCAGGAGGAGAGGGACCAGAUCCAACAACCAAAUGUCUCUGAAGUAAGAUGAAUUCCAUGCUUGGUUCCCAGAUCUAAAGGCUGAGGUGAACUCUGUAAACCCAACAUUUCUGAUUCACAUCUGUGGAUAGCAGAGGUUUUUUUCCCUUAGCACCUGCAAAUGAUCUUCCAGGAUAACAAAAUAUCAAUAUUUUGUACCUGAACUGCAAGGCAAGGCUUUAUAAAGAACAACACCUCCUCAAGGUCUCUUAAAGCAGAAUUUUUUCCUACGCUUUAUAUGAAAAAUAAUUAGAAAUUGACACAUUGCUGUUAACUGGCUUUGUGAUGGGUUCAUUGCUAUGGGCACAUACAAAAAGCCACGCUGGGGUCAGAGCCAGACCACUGAUAACAUCAGUUUCUGGAGCCAAAGAAGUCUAGCCAGAAGUUAGUCUCUGUUUAAACCACCCAGCACUAUAAGCUUUUUUUCUCCUUCAAGGGUUGAACAUGUGGCUCUUAGGUUCAGUGAUGUUAUCUGCCCAUGCUUGAUUCACUCUUACAGGGCAAGUUCUGGACAACCACCAGCUUUUCCCAUUUGUGCAGAGUGGCAUAGAGACAAACUGUCUACAGUCAUCUGCCUUUAAACCAACUAGCUCAAUGUACUUGGUGUUCCCCCAUUCCCCCUUGACACAAAUUUUAUUUCUUUUUCCCAUUUAUUUAUUUUUUAUUUAUUUUUUCUGUUACCUCUGGAUUCUGCUGCAUUUUCCUCCAAGACAGAUGUGGGCCAGUUACCUUUUCAUAAAUUCAAAGACAGAUGUGUAUCUUUGUUGUUGAUAUCUUGAAAACAUUUGAUGAGACUAUAAACCAGUUUCUGUUACUUAUAACUGAAGUUCCUUUACCCCUUUCUUUUCCC
rnacentral:lncRNA from 1 species